GUUCAAAAUGAUGUGAUCGUCCAGAGAUUACCCAUAAACUGCCCCAGAUGUGAGAAAAGCUUCCACACUGAAUUACAGCUCUGACUACACAACUGCCUACGAUGUCUGCUGAGCUCCUCUCUGUGAGUGAUCCAGGUGGGAAUAAUAGAAAUCCUCAAGGUGCCUCAGUGGGGGGCACAAAACCUUUACACCACUUCUUAAAGGGACAACCCAAAAUUAUUGGCACAAUUGUGCUGAUCUUGGGUGCAUCCUUCUUUAUCAUAUCCGUUGCGAUCACGGAAGUCUCCCACAUGCAUAUAUGGACAGUCAUCCCACCAGGCUUCCUGCUGGGGACACUGUUAAUCAUAUGUGGAAUUACAUACAUUUUGGCAGAACACAACACCACCAAGAAAACAUUUUUCACAGAACUGCAUAGACUCCAGUGGAAACUUUUUUUUUCACAUGACUGUGUAUCACCCCCAUCUUUGUCUGUUGGUGUCUGCAGGUAACCAUUUCGUUAUCUCUGAGCAUUGUCUCCAUACUGGUCGCAUGCUGGACUUUAAUACACAUCCUGCCUGACAUAGAAGCAUAUUCCUACCACCUAGAUUACAUUUAUGAUAAUGGAAACUUUUCAUUUACUGAACCAAUGGAAAAUUACCAGCACAUGGGAUUGGCUUUGGAAGCAAUUUUGGUGUUCUACACUUUUGUUGUAGCGAUUAUUUUCAUUGUAAUGUCAGCUCUGGCUGGCAUUGCCCUGCGAUCCACAAAAACCCAGGCCAUUGUAGUGAUGACUACUGCAUCGCCUGAUUCGUCAGUUGAAUAGCAAGCACAAGAGGACUGUCUGAAGUGUGAAAAAUUAAGAGAAGAAAUAUAUAUACUGUAUAAACAAACCCUUUAGUUUUAGUUUGCUAAAGGGGCAGACUCAGUACAUCGUUUUGAAAUUGCAUGGUGUAUGGCCUAACAUAAACUGGAUAAAUCAAUAAGGAACAAAUUAAUAUUCUGUUUCAUACAAGUAUGGUUCAUAUUCCAUGUCACAUGCUAAUAUUAUCCUUAAUAAAUCAAAUUUAUUUACAAAUUUAUUUACUGGUCCAAUUUACCUUAAUUAAUUAGAUACUGCCAUUUAAUUCUGUUGGGGCACCUCCUCAGCUGAGUUUUAGCAGAUAUUCUGAUGGUUCCGUAUGAAAUUAAUACAAUUAACUAAUUGCAUUAUUGCAUGUGUUGCACCUUUUUUCAUAUUUCCCUACUAAUUUCAUUUGUUUGUAAUGUGUGCUGAUAUAUGUGUGUUUGUAUGUUAGUAAAGAAACAGAAAGGAGAUAGAAAGGAUGUUUGCAAGAAAGACACACACAAAUAUUUUUAAGGUAUCGUAACAUUUUUCAUGAAACCUUUUAAUGCAGUUAAUGUGCAAUGUUACAUUCUUAUAAUAUUAAAGUUAAAUGAUCUCAAAAUUAAUUACAUCUGUUUUUAUCAGAAAUGUUUCUCUUUGUCUCACUUUGCAGUUUGACUGUUCCAGUGUUCUUAGAUCAUCUGGUUGAUUUUACCUGGAGACUGCUCAUCUCACAGCUAAUGUUUCAAAGCCAUAGAGCCCAAACUAUUACAUUAGUAUAACAAAAAAAAUAUUAACAGCAGUCCUUAUUAAUCAUAAGUACACAAUUAAAUGUCCUACAUAGUUUUUUUUGUAGCAUCACAAGUUAAUAACCCACCUUUUUUAAAAAAAUUCAAAUUGGCGGGAACUUCAGAACAUGAAAACACAAUCUUAGGAACUUAAAGCACCUCUGAUAAAUUGCAUUGCCCUUUUAUUUAUAUAUGUAUUUACCUAUCAAAGGUACCAAUAGUUCAUACCAGGUGUAAGAUACCAAAUAAUAUGACCCUUUUUCACCCUACUGUCCCUAACAGAAAUAUUUUGGAAUAGACCAGACAGAACAUGCACAGAAUCUCAUAGCUGCCCUUGACUCAUGUUUCACACCACUGGCACAAACACUGUGACACCCAACAAGCUGUCCUCUCUUACAGGGAACACUAUGUGAGACAUAUAACUAAUACAUGUGUAAAAAAGAGAGAUUCAGAAUCACAACACUAAAUGGAAUGAAGUCAACAUUAUGGCAAAGACUUAGUAGACUACUUACUGGCUGAACAUGCAAAGUUAAUAAGAGCAUAGAAUAUUUCUGUGUCUCCCUCUCUGCAUUAGGCUAGACAGCUCUGGUACCUGUGGAAGUGAAAAGCCAUGAAAGCAACUUUGGAAUAUAAUGUACCAGCCAGAUAGUUGACAUGGUAAUAUCUUUAAAUUAAAUCUCACACACACAGAGGAAAUGUCAUGGUUCUGGCUACCUGGUGAAUGUGAAGUCAUUAUUGAGUUUUACUCGGUUUGGUCUCUAAUAAAGUCAAUCUGUUUAGAUCUGCUUGCUUUUAUGUUGCUUUUAUUCUACUGUGUACAGUGACCUUGAGUGGUUUGAAAGGCGCUUUCAAAUAAAAUGUAUUAUUAUCAUUA